rnacentral:rRNA from 1 species
GUGAGUCAUCGAAUCUUUGAACGCACAUUGCGCCUCCUGGCAUUCCGGGAGGCAUGCUUGUUUGAGAACCGUCCGAUACUCACCUUGCCCUUUUACCGGGCUUGGGUGGAUCUGGGUGAUCGGCCUCACCGUCGCCACCCAAAAAGCAGAAAACUGAGGACAUAGUCAAAAAAAAGGACGUGCCAGAUGUGGAGCUUCCACGUUAACGUCUGGCUUGGGCUUUGCCUCACACAAAUUAUGGGGUAAGAUGUUACCCUGAUCAUGGUCUCAAAUCAAGCAAGAGGACCCGCUGAACUUAAGCAUAUCAAUAAGCGGAGG